CAGAAUUUCUUCCCUCCUACCUCCCUUAAAAAAAUAGAAGAGAGAGAAUGGAAAAGAGAAAAUGAUUGGGUGCCUAUCAUGGUAACAUAGGAUGUUGCAAUGGACAUUUUGGGAGACCCUAAGAUGACAGAUAUAAAGCACCAAAUGAGACCCCAGAUUGGGAUGCAAAUGUUCAAAAUAGAGCCAGUUAGACCCCAGCCCCGAGUCCCAAAUUGAGUGGUAAGAAAAGAUGGAAUUCUAAAGGGGAUUUCUCUGGUAAGAAUCAUUGAUAUGUGUUAUAGUUUGGAUAUGAGGUGCUCCCUGCUCCACUGUGCCCCAAAAUCUCAUGUGUGAGAUAAUGUAGAAAUAUUCGGACUGAAUGAUUAAAUUGUGAGUGUUCUAACCUAAUCACUGGAUUAAUCCAUUUGAUGGAUUUGAUUGAACUAACUGGGUAGAAAGUAUGGGCAGGUGGGGCACAGGUGCAGGGAGUUGGUCACUGGGGGGCAUGCCUUUGGGGUUUAUAUUUUGGCACUUUACUCUCUCUCUGUUUCCCAGCUGCCUUGAGUUGAGCAGCUUUUCUCUAUCACAGCCUUCCAGCUCACCUCAGAGCAAUGGAUUUGACCAACCAUGGACUGAACCUCUGAAACUGUGAGCCUGAAUAAACUUUCCCUCCUCUUAAGUUGUUCUUGUCAAGCAUUUUGGCCAUACCAACGUAAAGCUGAGAGAGCAUGCUACCAAUCCCAGUCUAUGUCCCCACUUCCAACAGAAAGGGAUGAGCAAUUCUAUUCCUUCAGUUGACAAUAAUUGGAGAAGCAUCAAAUGACCACUCAGUGAGCUUGAUGUAGGGUAGAUAAGGGCAAUGGCUUCAAUGUGUCCCCAAAUAUUCUAGGGAUAAUAACACAAAUACACUUAGAAUCAAUAUUUUACCACUUUGUGUGUGUGUGCAGUAAAGGAUUGACUCGGCAGGCUCAAGAUGUGCACAUUCCAAAGAAAGUUUCUAGUCCUUGCUGGCCUUCUUGGAUAAGUCCUUGGACUAUCCUGCCUGACAAGAGUGUCUUUAUAUUCCUGGGGUCUUGGGCCUGCCAGAUAGCUUAUGCUGUCUGUAAUUAUAAUCCCCAGUGCAACAGUGCUGAAAGGUGAUUUGGUCAAGAGGGUUUUGCACUCCUGGAUGUACUAGUGCAAGAGUGGGUGAGUUAUCACUGGAGUGGACUCCUGAUAAAAGGAUGAGUUUGGCUGUCUUCCCUCUCACUUUCUGUCACUCAUAUGAUGCCUUCUGCCACAUCAUGACUCAACAAGACUCAACAAGAUUAUAAGAUGUAGCUACUUGAUUUUGAACUUCCCAGUCUCCAGAACGAAAAGAAUGGAGAAGCCUCAUCAGAAGAAGUUACAAGUAUUACUAGUGGAUGUGUCAGGGCUACAGAAAGAGCAAACAGAAAGGUGGAGGAGAAGACUUAGGCACAUCAAAGGGAGAUUUCAGAAGGGAAGAAUCUGGAACCAAACCAUGAGCUCAAGGUAUCAAAGGUGGGGCAGCUCAGAUCCUGCUACGUCAUGUGCUUUGGGAAUUACUGGCUGAAUUAAGUUCUUCAAAGUCAGGUUGGUGACUACAUACUGACUUCCAACAAAAGGAAGAGGCAGCGUUUGAAACAUAAGAAGGCAGGCAAUGUUGGACCUUUGGCCAAAUCUGAUGAUGCU